rnacentral:misc_RNA from 1 species
GAUGAAGAACGUAGUGAAAUGCGAUACGUAAUGUGAAUUGCAGAAUUCAGUGAAUCAUCGAAUCUUUGAACGCACAUUGCACUCCUUGGUAUUCCGAGGAGUAUGCCUGUUUCAGUAUCAUGAGCACUCUCACAUCUAACCUUUGGGUUAAAAUGUGGAAUUGGGAUGCGCCGGUUAUUAUAACGUCCCUCCUAAAAUUCAGUUCUUGGCUGCUUCCUACUACAGCAGUUUGGCCUAAUAGUUUUGAGUCUUCGAUUCAAAUCUUUGGCUAACAUUUGCUUCAGGAUGUCAGUCUUGAUAUACAGAAAUCUCAUUCAAACUUUGAUCUGAAAUCAGGUAGGGCUACCCGCUGAACUUAAGCAUAUCAAUAAGCGGAGGA